AUUGAACGCUGGCGGCAGGCCUAACACAUGCAAGUCGAACGGUAACAGGAAGCAGCUUGCUGCUUUGCUGACGAGUGGCGGACGGGUGAGUAAUGUCUGGGAAACUGCCUGAUGGAGGGGGAUAACUACUGGAAACGGUAGCUAAUACCGCAUAACGUCGCAAGACCAAAGAGGGGGACCUUCGGGCCUCUUGCCAUCGGAUGUGCCCAGAUGGGAUUAGCUAGUAGGUGGGUUAACGGCUCACCUAGGCGACGAUCCCUAGCUGGUCUGAGAGGAUGACCAGCCACACUGGAACUGAGACACGGUCCAGACUCCUACGGGAGGCAGCAGUGGGGAAUAUUGCACAAUGGGCGCAAGCCUGAUGCAGCCAUGCCGCGUGUAUGAAGAAGGCCUUCGGGUUGUAAAGUACUUUCAGCGGGGAGGAAGGGAGUAAAGUUAAUACCUUUGCUCAUUGACGUUACCCGCAGAAGAAGCACCGGCUAACUCCGUG
rnacentral:rRNA from 1 species